GAGCAUGUAGCUCAAUGGUAGAGCGUGUGCUUAGCAUGCACGAGGUCCUGGGUUCAAUCCCCAGUACCUCCA
rnacentral:tRNA from 1 species